UCUGUAUUUAUGGUGCUAUAUCAGGCAAGCAACUCAAUAGUACCGUGGCACUUCGUGAGCGAUAAGGCCUGUAAAGAUUAUGAUGACAAGUGAAUAAGAGAUAACUGAUCGAUAUGGCAAACUAAAUGAGGGGAUCAUUGAAUGCUGGGUCGUGCUUCCAGAUGGCUAAUGUUUACUUCCUCUAUGUCUCAAUCUGCUCUCAUUAAAACAUUCUCUCGGAGCGUGGCCUCCGGAUGGCAACUGCGAGGAAGACAGGUCACUAAUGAAACACACUGAUCACUGAACUCCUUAGUACAGACUUCAGACGUUCUUGCUCCCACUGAACAUCAAGAUGCUCUUUGGACUGAAAGAAUGGAAGAUUUCUCAAAUCAUGCAGGAGAAGAUGAUCGUCAGGUUUCACACAAAUAUGCAACAUUUAUUCAGCUCAUGUGCUGCUGUCAUUAAAGCAAAAAAUGGGUCAAAGCAAAUUCUAAGACACGCUGAAUUAUCCAGUCCAGCUUUUUAAGUCAAAUUGUAAUGCCGAUAAUAUCAUUUGUUUGAAGAAGAAAAAAAAAACACUUUUGGGCCACUUUUUCAUUUGGUCAAAUUCUUUAGACCGAUAUAUAAUCAUUAGAAGUCAGAGCCAUAAGUCAUGGCUUGGACCAAAUAUAAUACAUAAGAGAUAAUAUAGGUGACUUCAACAUUGUAAAAUGCUAGCAAAUUCCCACUUCUUCUUUUUUUUUUUUUUUUUUUUAAAUACAAAGCGUGUGGAGUGAGGUGAAAAGUAUACCAUUGGCUCUUUUCAGCCUUUUCAGUGGCUCUAUUAUAAAUGGCAGAGUCAGUCAAAAGCUCUUCCAAAUAGCCCUUAUCUCCCAGUUUCAGCCUGCUGUCCAUAAUAUAAGCUGUCAUUUCACAAGG